rnacentral:rRNA from 1 species
AGCGAACGUUAGCGGCAGGCUUAACACAUGCAAGUCGAGCGCGAAAGAGGGCUUCGGCCCUCGAGUAAAGCGGCGUACGGGUGAGUAACACGUGGAUAAUCUGCCCUCCGGUGGGGACAACAACCCGAAAGGGUUGCUAAUACCGCAUUCGUCGGCGAGCUCUGCGGAGCACGUCGGGAAAGGUGCCCUCUACUUAUAAGGUACCGCCGGAGGAGGAGUCCGCGUCCCAUCAGCUAGUUGGUAGGGAACGGCCUACCAAGGCUAAGACGGGUAGCUGGUCUGAGAGGAUGAUCAGCCACACUGGGACUGAGACACGGCCCAGACUCCUACGGGAGCAGCAGUGGGGAAUAUUGGACAAUGGGCGCAAGCCUGAUCCAGCCAUGCCGCGUGAGUGAUGAAGGCCCUCGGGUCGUAAAGCUCUGUGGAGGGGAAGAAUUUCUGCAGCAUCAGAUCCUGCAGGUUGACGGUACCCUUUAGCAAGCACCGGCUAACUCCGUGCC